GGAUCCAGACUUCGAUUAUGGCUCAGGAUGAACGCUAGCUACAGGCUUAACACAUGCAAGUCGAGGGGAAACGACAUCGAAAGCUUGCUUUUGAUGGGCGUCGACCGGCGCACGGGUGAGUAACGCGCAUCCAACCUGCCCACCACUUGGGGAUAACCUUGCGAAAGUAAGACUAAUACCCAAUGACGUCUCUAGAAGACAUCUGAAAGAGAUUAAAGGUUUAUCGGUGAUGGAUGGGGAUGCGUCUGAUUAGCUUGUAGGCGGGGUAACGGCCCACCAAGGCAACGAUCAGUAGGGGUUCUGAGAGGAAGGUCCCCCACAUUGGAACUGAGACACGGUCCAAACUCCUACGGGAGGCAGCAGUGAGGAAUAUUGGUCAAUGGGCGAGAGCCUGAACCAGCCAAGUAGCGUGCAGGAUGACGGCCCUAUGGGUUGUAAACUGCUUUUAUAAGGGAAUAAAGUGAGUCUCGUGAGACUUUUUGCAUGUACCUUAUGAAUAAGGACCGGCUAAUUCCGUGCCAGCAGCCGCGGUAAUACGGAAGGUCCGGGCGUUAUCCGGAUUUAUUGGGUUUAAAGGGAGCGUAGGCCGGAGAUUAAGCGUGUUGUGAAAUGUAGACGCUCAACGUCUGCACUGCAGCGCGAACUGGUUUCCUUGAGUACGCACAAAGUGGGCGGAAUUCGUGGUGUAGCGGUGAAAUGCUUAGAUAUCACGAAGAACUCCGAUUGCGAAGGCAGCUCACUGGAGCGCAACUGACGCUGAAGCUCGAAAGUGCGGGUAUCGAACAGGAUUAGAUACCCUGGUAGUCCGCACGGUAAACGAUGGAUGCCCGCUGUUGGUCUGAAUAGGUCAGCGGCCAAGCGAAAGCAUUAAGCAUCCCACCUGGGGAGUACGCCGGCAACGGUGCAACUCAAAUGAAUUGACGG
rnacentral:rRNA from 1 species